UACGUAGGGUGCAAGCGUUGUCCGGAAUUAUUUGGGGCGUAAAGAGCUCGUAGGCGGUUUGUCGCGUCUGCUGUGAAAACUCGGGGCUUAACCCCGGGCCUGCAGUGGGUACGGGCAGACUAGAGUGCGGUAGGGGAGACUGGAAUUCCUGGUGUAGCGGUGAAAUGCGUAGAUAUGUGGAGGAACACCGAUGGCGAAGGCAGCCCCCUGGGUCAAGACUGACGCUCAUGCACGAAAGCGUGGGGAGAAACAGG
rnacentral:rRNA from 1 species